CUAACACACACUAAAGUGUGUUGAACGGGAGGAAACGCAGAGAAGAGAAGAAAGGGAAGAAAAGAAAAAGAAGGGAAGAAAAAAAAGAGAAAGAAGAAAUCUUGUGCCAACUACUUCAAUCUUGUUUAUUUAAUUCUUCAAGAGGUAAGGUUAAUAAUUAUUGAUUUAGUUUUUGUAAAUUUUGUUUAGGGUUUUAAAUUUAUAGCUUAUACUUGAAAAAUAUGAUAAGAAAUCUAAAUAUUUGAGUAUUUGGAGCUAGUUAUUCUAGUAGAUUGGAAAAAAUGAUAUUUAGAUAUUAGGGUUUUGUCAUAUAUGGCUAAAUCCGAAAAUUUGGGGAAAUAUAUGAAUUUUUGUUAUUUUCACUUGUGAUUGUUUUAUGGUAUUAUUAAGUUAGAUUAGUUGAAAAUAACUUAUCUUAUGCUUGAAUUCUCACUUUGGAUGAAUAUGGAAAAUAUAAGAAAGGAGCUUUUGAUAAGAUUUAUGUAUUUAGUUAAAAGAGAAUUUAAAUAAGGAAUGUGGAUGAUUAUUAUCAUAAAAAACUUAUUGAAUUUUUACGGGGCAGCCGGGAAAGGUUAGUAUUAAAGAGCGAGGGAUGUAGAGUGAUUCAAAAUUAAGUGAACGUAUGUUUAAGUAACCAAAUAAAAAGAUAAAUAUUAAGUCUCAGCUUAUUGAGGGAUAUAUAUAUAUAUAUAUAUUUUAUUUUAUUUUGAUGAUAAGAAAGAGUUAUUAUUGAGAAAUCCCUUGUAAUUGUAUAUGGAUGGAAUUAAAGUAGCUUAUAUUUAUGAUCGUUUCAAGAGGGGAUUUGGACGUGGAAACAGCAUACCAGCCCCGUUAGUCCAGCCUAUACUUGUGAGUGAAGAAUCUAUAUUUUAAAAAAGAGAAUUUUCUUUUUAUUUUAUAGAAGCAUGUUAAUUAAAUGGAAUGCUUUAUUUUCGAGAAAUAGUAAAUGAGUAUGAUUGUUUUGGAAUUAUCAUAAAAUAAUUGAUGUGAUUAUCUUACUCUAAUGCACUGAGGGGCUACGACCGUGUAUUAGAGUCAUGUAUUUAAAUCUUAUCCACUGAGGGGCUACGGUCGUGGGUAAAGUUAUCCAUUAUAUACUGAGGGGCUACAGCCGUGUGUAAGGGUAACUCUUAUCCACUGAGGGGCUACAGCCGUGUGUAAGGGUAACUCUUAUCCACUGAGGGGCUACGACCGUGGGUAAAGUUAUCCAUUAUACACUGAGAGGCUACAACCGUGUAUAAUGAUGAUUAUGUUAUUCCCAUCUUGUACACUUAGGGGCUACGGCCGUGUACAGAAUAUUGAUCAGACGGUUUAUGUACAUAUGAUUUAUGGCUUUCAGAUCAUUAGUAGAUGUUUACGUGGGAUAUAUAUAUUUUGAUGUGAAUUUUAAUUAUAUAGUGGAUUAUUAGUCUUCAGCUUACAUUUUUCCCGCUUAUAGUUCAGCUUGUGGAGUUUAGAUUAUGGUUUUUAAUUAUUGAAUUGUCUAAUGUACUUACUCAUCUCGUUAUAUAUAUAUAUAUAUAUAUAUCUUUACACACAAAGGACAGUACAACCAUCUUUUAAGCACUUCACUCACUGGGAUUAUUAUUUCAUAUUUUCCUGAACUUUUCCUUAUAGGAGGCUGUUGACUGAGCGGUGGUGGAGAUUAUUUUGAUAGUUUUGCAGCCAUUGCUACCACCAAUUGUAGGUUCUUUUGUUUGAAAUUGUGUAAUCAUCAAGUAAAAUAUUUACAUCAUAUUGGAGGAAAAUUAUUUUGGUAUUUAUAUACACCAAUGAUCAUGAUGUAAUAUUGUAAUCUAAACUGCUUCUUAUUAUCCUUUUGAGAGGCAGUUUUGAUGUAUAUGUUAUG
rnacentral:lncRNA from 1 species